UACGUAGGGGGCAAGCGUUGUCCGGAAUCAUUGGGCGUAAAGAGCGCGUAGGCGGUCCGGUAAGUCCGCUCUGAAAGUCCGGGGCUCAACCCCGGGAGGCGGGCGGAUACUGUCGGGCUAGAGUCCGGAAGAGGCGAGUGGAAUUCCUGGUGUAGCGGUGAAAUGCGCAGAUAUCAGGAGGAACACCAAUGGCGAAAGCAGCUCGCUGGGACGGUACUGACGCUGAGGCGCGAAAGCGUGGGGAGCAAACAGG
rnacentral:rRNA from 1 species